ACUCAAAUGAAUUGACGGGGACCCGCACAAGCGGUGGAGUAUGUGGUUUAAUUCGAAGCAACGCGCAGAACCUUACCAGCUUUUGACAUGGGAAGUUUGAGGAGUAGAGAUACUUUUCUUCAGUUCGGCUGGCUUCCACACAGGUGCUGCAUGGCUGUCGUCAGCUCGUGUCGUGAGAUGUUGGGUUAAGUCCCGCAACGAGCGCAACCCUUAUUGCUAGUUGCCAUCAGGUUUGGCUGGGCACUUUAGCGAAACUGCCGGUGAUAAGCCGGAGGAAGGUAGGGAUGACGUCAAGUCCUCAUGGCCCUUAUAGGCUGGGCUACACACGUACUACAAUGGCGGUGACAGAAGGCAGCGACGGAGAAAUCCUGAGCGAAUCCUUAAAAGCCGCCUCAGUUCGGAUUGUCCUCUGCAACUCGAGGACAUGAAGUCGGAAUCGCUAGUAAUCGUAGAUCAGCAUGCUACGGUGAAUACGUUCCCGGGUCUUGUACACACCGCCCGU
rnacentral:rRNA from 1 species